rnacentral:rRNA from 1 species
UGGGGAAUAUUGCACAAUGGGCGCAAGCCUGAUGCAGCCAUGCCGCGUGUAUGAAGAAGGCCUUCGGGUUGUAAAGUACUUUCAGCGGGGAGGAAGGGAGUAAAGUUAAUACCUUUGCUCAUUGACGUUACCCGCAGAAGAAGCACCGGCUAACUCCGUGCCAGCAGCCGCGGUAAUACGGAGGGUGCAAGCGUUAAUCGGAAUUACUGGGCGUAAAGCGCACGCAGGCGGUUUGUUAAGUCAGAUGUGAAAUCCCCGGGCGCAACCUGGGAACUGCAUCUGAUACUGGCAAGCUUGAGUCUCGUAGAGGGGGGUAGAAUUCCAGGUGUAGCGGUGAAAUGCGUAGAGAUCUGGAGGAAUACCGGUGGCGAAGGCGGCCCCCUGGACGAAGACUGACGCUCAGGUGCGAAAGAGUGGGGAGCAAACAGG